GGCUCAGGACGAACGCUGGCGGCGUGCCUAAUACAUGCAAGUCGAACGAAUCUUCUUCGGAAGAUGAGUGGCGAACGGGUGAGUAAUACAUAGGUAACCUGCCCCUGUGCGGGGGAUAACAGGAGGAAACUCCUGCUAAUACCGCAUAGCCAUGAGCACCGAAUGGAGCUCAUGCCAAAUAUCCUUUCGGGGAUAGCGCAGGGAUGGACCUAUGGCGCAUUAGCUGGUUGGCGGGGCAACGGCCCACCAAGGCAACGAUGCGUAGCCGGCCUGAGAGGGCGGACGGCCACAUUGGGACUGAGACACGGCCCAGACUCCUACGGGAGGCAGCAGUAGG
rnacentral:rRNA from 1 species